ACGCUGUGAGACGCUCGAAGGAGGUCCUGAAGGCUCUGCGGGGGAUGCUCGCUGUAGGAAUUGACACCUGCACCAACCGAGGAGCAGCUGGAUCCACGGCUGGGUCUUUUGUGGGAGCAGGAUUAGCAGCAUGGAAGGUGCUAGGACAGCCACGGUGCUGCCAGCAGCCGAGCAUGAGGCUGAGCCCGAGCAACACGAGGGGAAUGCAGCUCGCCUGGCCGCUCGCCCAGGCCCGGAGAGCUCCGUCCUCCAGCACGCAGCAGCUGGGGGCUCGGCCUUUCCGAAAAUGAAACGCAGUUUGUGUUUGUCUCAGGGCUCGGUCAUGGUAUGCGAACUCUAGAUUGCAGGGAGGCAAGAGGAAGCCUGUGGUUUUUGAAAAACAAGAGAAGCAGGGUGAUAAGAGAGAGCCCAAAAUGUUCCGGACAUCGUGGGUGGCUGUGGGGUGGCCCCGGUCGUGGUGUGAGCAGCGCCGUGCCCUGCCCCUGGGGUGGGAUGGACGGUGGCAGCUCCCCGUGGCUGUGGGUGGGAAGAGCUGGGGGGAAGGACCUUACUGUGAUGGAAAAAUGUGCUGUUCCUGGAAUUCCUAACUCCAGGAUGUCUCCCAAAGGGUGCCCCACAGAGCAAAGCCCCGAUGCCAGCUUUCCAGGCCGAGGCAGCAGAGGUGGCUAUUUUUGAUUAAAAAAAAAAUGAUCUUUAUUGUCUUCAAAGAAUUGAUUUGGUUUAGUAUUUGCAUAGCAGUCAUCCAAAAGUCUUCUGCUGUAGGAUGCCUCUGGUGUUUGAGUUCUUCGAGGGCAGAAAGUGAUGCAGAAGCACCUGAGUGUGGAGCAGGAUCCCUGUUUUGUACUGCAUUUCUUCUUAAAGCCAGUUUUAUUUAAAGGCAAUGAACGCCUGGCAGUACAGAGUCAGUGAAACAGCAAUUCGUGCUGUAAACCUUCAGUCUGGGCAGUUAAUGUUUGUCAUCUUCUGGGGAGUUUUUGGCUGCUCACAUAAUGCUCAGUGUGAUGGCCUGGCUGGAGAUCAGCCUUGUGUGUCUAUGUUUAAAGCCUCCCUGCGAGGCUGGGCUGGGCUUUGUUUGGUCCUGGUUGCAGGAACGGCCAGAAACGAUCCCUCACCCAAAUACCAAAGCAAACAAGUGAUUUGGAGAAAUAAAAUUACUGCUGACAGCUCAGGGGUGGCAAAAGGCACACCCAAAGUCACCCCAGGAGUCUGUGGCAGAGGUGGCCUGCCCUGAAGGGCCUUACUGCUCCUCCGCCCUGCCAGACCUCCUCCUGCCUGAGGAUGUGCCACGAGUGGGCUUCUGCCUCCUUCCUCCCCCUCUACUUCUGCUUCUUUACCCCCCUGGAGCUGGGAUGCUGUUUCCAGGGGCUCUUUGGGCCUUUGGGGCCUGCCAAAUCCCACGUCUGCAGCAGGAAACGACGGCGCGUCAUAACCACGGGGCUCCUCAUGUGCUCCUGCCUCAUUAAUGGCCAGCCAGGGUAAUGGGGCCUGUGUUCCUGCAGCUUGAAGCUUGCUCGCUGUUGGGUUUGGAUCAGGCUCCCAUCUGAAGCAGAGCUCAGGCCUGUAGGGUAGGGGCAGGGUGAUCCUCCCUCUGCUCCAAACCCCGCAGCUCCUGUCCCCAGGGUGAUCCCUGCACGGGCUACCUGGGGCUGCACGGCCUUGAACUAGGGAAAACUUCUCAAAAAAGCAAAAGACGAGAGAGAAAUGUGUGCAAAUCGUGGCACCAUGAGCUAUAUUUGUGCGAAUAUUUGAAUAUUUUCAGAUUUGUGGUGAAACCUCGCAGUCAUGUUUUGCGUUACCUCUAUUCUUGGAGUGCUUCAGCAGGCUGCGGCUGCCCCAGAGAGGGAUGUUUGGCAUCCUGGCUUCCACACUGCUUCCAUUUGGCACUUUGCAGAACUCACAGAGGCCUCUAAAGCAAACGCUGGAGGGAUGCUGCUUCUUUUUUUGGUGAGGAAACACAUCCUGACUAAAGAGAGGGUUGGAGUUGGCACAUUGCACCCAGCCUGCCCGCUGUUCUGUGAGUUGAGACGGUGGGCUCGUGGUGAGCUGGACCCUCAGGCAAGACCACCCGGGAGCUGCUGCUGUGGUACAUGGGUCUUGGCGGUCUGGGGAAUGUGAAAAAAGCAGCCACAACCACCUGGGGGGCAGUGAGUAUGGGGCAGAGCUGAAGGAGCGCGCACGAUGUCGCCCUGGUUUUCAUUGGGGCCAAGAAAUGAAGAAAGCUUUGCUUCUGAUUUUGGUGGCUCCAGCAGGAACAGAGCUGGGUUUUCACCUGACGGAGAUCAUUUCCAUGCCCUGGAGCAAACCUGACGUUGAUUAAAAGGGACUUUUAUAGAUCAUCUUCAGGUCUUGGUGGUGGUGAGGUGUUUGGUGUGUCGGCGAUGCAGGAGCACCCCAAGAGCCCCUGGAGAAGCAGGUGUAAAGGGAUGAAUGGAUUCUAACUCUGCUCUCCCAGGUGCCUGGAUAUUAUUUGUUCAGAGCAGAAUUUGGCUCGAGAUGUAAUGCAGAAUUAAUCCUUCAGGUGCCUUCACAGAAAGUAAGCUUAAAACACAUUAAAAAGUCAUCAGGCCUUCAUUAGGCCGCGCGGCUGCAGCUGCUUGCCAGGAGCCGCGAGGAUAUAAAUAAGGAAACGCUCCUUGUCCUCGCGCUUGACUGAUAGCAGAGGGAUCUGCUUCUGGCCUCUGCGGGAGGAAAGCGGCUGAGCAGACCUCUGAUGUGGAGCAGCCACUCGGUUCUGACACGUUUAGGGCGUUUUGGUGCCUUUGCUUUUCCAGCCUGACCGCAGCAGAGCUGGGUGGCAUCGGCCGUCGUGUGUCAGAGCACCGUGGCCUCUCCACUCGGAGCUUCUUGCUGGGGGAUUUAGCAAAAUUUCAGGCCUUGGGUUAUUGAAUGAGUGUGCUUAAAGUGAUGUUCUAAUCCAGAAAAGAAGCUUUUAGUUUUGCUCUCGUGAUUCGGCUUUUCCCUUUCUGUAAUUUCCUACUUCUGGAGCUCAUUGCGGGCCAGUUUUGGGCAGAGCGAGUGCAGACAGAGCCCAUCCGGACACGGCCUCAUUUCUGGAGGAAAAAAAAAAAAAAAGAAGAAGCACGAGUACAGUAUGAGCUUUUCCAGCCCCUUGUGUUUGGUUUGGGUCACAUAAGUUCGUGGUGGUUUCAGUGUUUGUCCUCGUCGUUCCUUGCAGAGCAGCAGGCCAGCGCUGGAAGAGCCACCGCCGGCCUUGCUGCGUGUCGCGCGUGGCUUAAAAUAGGCAGACAAAGAAGUGGCGUGGGCUCUGCGAUGAUAAUUGCCCAGACCUAAAAAUAGGAGGAUGUUCUGCCUGGCAGGGGGAAGUGAGAGAGACACCCGCAGGCAUCCCGCAGAGCUCUCAUCAGGCCUUAGGUGCUGCGGGUGCCCUCCAGUUUUCCACCCCUUGGCCGCAGCUUGCAGCGAUGGUGGCCACCAGAGCUGGCACCUCUGAAAUUUAAGGUGAUACAGGGAAAAAAUCUGCUUUGUUUGUAUGAAUGGAAGCAAGGAAGCUUGUAUAUAAACACCUGCAUCCUGAAAUAUUAUAACAGAAACACAGAAAACUCUAAUGGAGCCUGGGAAGGAGCCUGCUCGGGGGCAUGCUGUGGUGUCCUGGCUGUGGGGUGUGAGCUUCCAGGGGUCUGGCUGUGGGGUGUGAGCUUCCAGGGAAGCACAGCGGGAUUCCCCAGCCUCAAAAUGCUGCGGGGAGCUGCCCAAAAGGUACCGGGAGCCAAAAUCCCCACUCUGCCUGCAGCUGAUUUCCAAGCAUCAGCUUCUGCCCCAGCAGCCUGCAUGAGGAGAGCUGUUACCGUCAGAAAUGUUAAAAAACAAGCACACAAAAAACAAAGAAUGAACUUUUUUUUUUUUAAAUUCCAAGAAGCAGCCGUGAAUAGCAGUCGUGUUACCGCAGGCACGUGAGGAGGGAGAAGCUGCUGCUGCUGCUGGACAUAUUUAGCCUGCAGUCUGCGCCGGGCAUGGGCAGGGCGAAAUAAAACAACGGGGAAGCUCUUGGCUGCUCUGGGAGGGGGCACCCGUUCGGUGUAAGGGAUGAGUUGUACCUUUGCAAAAAAAAAAAAAAAAAA